rnacentral:tmRNA from 1 species
GGGGCUGAUUUAUGGAUUUGACGAAAUUAAUGAACCCUAAGGUGCAUGCCGAGGUAAGGUUUGCCUCGUUAAAAAACCUUACAAAAUAAAUGCAAAUCAAUUGCAAUUUGAAUCUGCUUUAGCAGCUUAAUCAGCUUAAAAAACUGAAGAUUCCCUCUAUUUCAAAAAUUUUCUCUUAAUAUUGAUUAUAUAGAGGUUAAAUUUAAAGAGAUAGCGUUAAAAGUUUUGUCUGAAAACUAAAACGUGAAAUAUAAUCAGACUAAUUUAUUAGUAAAUUAUGUCAGUUAAUCACUAAUAAGUAAAAUAAAAUACUGUACUAAGCAUGUAGUACUGAAGGAGUAAUAAUUUCGGACGCGGGUUCAAAUCCCGCCAGCUCCAC